UGAUAAUUGAAAUAGAUAUACUCUUCUCGUUUCCUUCUCUCCCGACUCUCCAUCGUGACUCUGUAUCUUCCGAUAUUCAUCCAUCCUUCCUCCGCUGAAGAAUUAUUUAAAGCUUGAAGCUUCACGCCAAUUGCGAGAUCUUGCUGAAGAAGUCAGUCUUUUGCCCAACACCUCAAAUUUGCCGAUUUUCCUGAAAUGGGGAAGAAUGAAUUCCUAACCCCGAAGGCUAUCGCGAACCGGAUCAAGGCGAAAGGUCUGCAGAAGCUGCGAUGGUAUUGCCAGAUGUGCCAAAAACAAUGCCGCGACGAGAACGGAUUCAAGUGCCAUUGUAUGAGUGAGUCCCACCAGCGCCAGAUGCAGGUCUUCGGCCAGAACCCCACCCGAAUCAUCAGUGGAUACUCCGAGGAAUUCGAGAGCAUGUUCCUCGAGCACAUGAAGCGGAGCCACCGCUUCAGCCGCAUCGCCGCCACCGUCGUCUACAACGAGUACAUCUCUGACCGCAACCACGUCCACAUGAAUUCCACCAAGUGGGCGACGCUGACGGAGUUCAUCAAGUAUUUGGGGAAGGCCGGCAAGUUGAAGGUGGAAGAGACCCCCAAAGGCUGGUUCAUCACCUACAUCGAUAACGAUUCCGAGACUCUGUUCAAGGAGAGGAUGAAGAAUAAACGCCUUAAGGCGGAUAUGGUGGAGGAGGAGAAGAUGGAGAGGGAGAUUCAGAAGCAAAUUGAGCGAGCUGGGCAGAUGGUUGGGAGUGACAAGGGUGGUGACGAAGGACUUGCUAAAUCGAGAAUGUUGGAGAAGACUGAUGAGGAGGGUGGAGCAAAGAUCAAGUUAAGCUUGGGGCAGUCGAAAAAGAACCCGGAGAUGAAUGGGAAACGGGGGGAUAAUACUAGGUUGUUGUUUGAUGAGGUCGAGCCAGAGAGUAGUAGUGGGAAGCGGAAAAGAGAAGGCGAGGGUUCGAGUAAGAAUGCAUCAGUUUUGGAUGAGAUGAUGAAAGAGGAGGAGAAAGCUAAGGAAAGGAUCAAUAGAAAGGACUAUUGGGUUUGCCCAGGGAUUGUUGUGAAGGUUAUGAGUAAAGCUUUGGUGGAUAAGGGGUACUACAAGCAGAAGGGCGUCGUGCUCAAGGUGAUUGAUAAAUACUGUGGGGAGAUUGAGAUGCUUGAGAAUAAGCAUGUAUUGAGGGUUGAUCAGGAGGAGUUAGAGACGGUGCUUCCUCAGAUAGGUGGUCUUGUCAAGAUAGUGAAUGGGGCGUAUCGCGGUCAGAUUGCAAGGUUACUGUCAAUCGAUACUGAUAGAUUUUGUGCCAAGGUGCAGAUUGAGAAGGGAGUAUAUGAUGGAAGAGUUCUCAAGGCUGUUGAGUAUGAAGAUAUUUGCAAACUAGCUUAGUGGCAUAUGGAUCUUGGGAGUUUUUAAUGUAUUGCUCAGUGGUUGGUUUUGAAUUGAUCAUCUGAUCUAAUUGUAUCCAGCCUCCGACACAAACUACGUGAUAUGUUGUAUUUGCAGCACCAAAUCCAAGUGUCUCAAUCGGAACACAAGAACAAAGGGGAGUUCAUCCUUGUUCACCCUGGACAGGUUUCUAGAAUGGAUGUGAUCACAGGUUAGUGCUACAGAUGCAUGUUGGUAUAUGCCACUAUUUUAAAAGUACAGUGGAGUACAUUUUUGUCAACUCAGGUAUUUAAGAUGGUUACAUUCCUUAUAUGCCUGCUAAGGUGUUAAAUACUCUUCAUUUCUUUUGUUGCACAACUCUUAUUUCAUAGGAGUAUGAUCAUGUUUCAGUAGUUCAAGCCACUAUAUAUUUGUUGAAUCAAAGUGUUGUUGAUGAACAUAUCAUUAUCUAUGUAGAAUGGAACUUAAGAUGCAUGCAUGUACUCUUCUGCAUAAUCCAUAAAGCACGAAUGUCUUCUCUCCUCAUGUACUUCUUGCUAAAUAAGUUCUCUCUCUAUGAAUAUUUUUUGCCUCUGCAUUUUAUAACUGGAAUUUUAAAUGUAGAGAUUAUGAACUGUAAUGCUACAAAUGUUCAAUUCUUUCCCCAAGAACGCGAAAUUGAAUACACACUUGGAGAUUCUUUGUAUAUCCCUUCAAUCCAUUACAUUUGAGGGUGUACUUUUGCGAGUUUGUAGUAAAAAAAAUUGACCUACACUUGGCCCCUUUUCUUUUCUCAGUGUAGCCUCCAUGUUUGAAAAGGUAACAAAUUGACUGUACCAUUUCGAAUAUUUCUGAUGUAUUUUCAUUUGUGAACUAGUUUCUAUCAAUUGGUUUCGGACCUAUAGAGGCGUUGAUGGGAUUCAUUGUUUUUUACAUGGCUUGGUUGUGAUUCAGAACCAUCAAGUAUUCAUUUCAAUGUGUUGCCAUCAUUUCUCUCCACUUAUCUCUCCAUUUUCUCAGCCAUUUGCUGUUUAUUUUUGAGAGUAAUGAAAGGGGACGAACCUUGAAAUCAAUUGAUAGGAGUACUCAAUUAGUUUUCACCUUUAACUUUUACACAUUCAUUGCACUCGAUCAAUUUUAGACCAACCCUCAUCUUCUGCCUUUAUCAUUCACUUUUUCUGCAACCACAAUGCCCCAUUUAGUGUCUGUUUAGUGCCAUGGUAAAUUUUUGUUUUGUCAUUCUGGGAUUAGUUGAUAGGAGUAAUAUUUACACAAAAGUAGUGUUCAUAUGGAUGGAGAAUGAAGAACAUAUAUAACAUGUAAAAUAUUUGGUAAGCUUUCAAUUUAUAGUUAAUCCAUGUAUUAGUAUUUAGUAGUAUCAAUUACUGAAACACCUGGCAGUCUUUUGUUAGGAGCAGUAGAUUGUAAAAAUACCUACCCAAGUUUGGAUGCAACCAGAGUGAAUAUUGCUUAGCACAGUGGUAAUGGAAUUGAUGCUUGAUGUUGAUAUAUUAUAUUUUGCUAUGUGGCAUGACAUUUUUUCUUUCCAUUCUUGAUGAGCUAAUUAAGAAACAAGGUUUUGGAAUUACUGCUUUGUCUCACUGCCUAUUUCCCCAGCAGGUGGAUGCUACACAUAAAUAGUGGUUGACAAUUUGACAUUUAUUUGUAUGAUGCAAAAUGAUGAAAUAUUUUAGAAUCUGCAAACUCUAAACAAUCGCAUUUCCUCUUGUCCAAAUUUUGCCUUGGCAUGAUCAUAUGUUUUCUCCACGUUGCUCUGACGAUUUAACAUUCAUUUGUCUGUCUGCCUUGCUCACUUCGUGGUAGCACCUGGCGUGGCAGGGGAAGAUAGGUAUGCUACCUGGAAACGUAGCAUUAAUAUCGGAGCUGAAAUCUGCAUCAACAUACACAAGGCCGAUCAAGUGAUGAAGUACUUCAUUAGCAGUGGAUUUGCGUUUGUCCAUUCAAAUUCUACUUUUGUAAUCUUAGCUGUGGAGACUGUCGUGGUGGAGACGGUCUUGCUAAAGCCCAGAUUGUGCUGGACGUUCUAACUUCUAUCGAUUCUCGUCUCUCGUUUCAGUCCAUUAUUUACUGAUUCUCCCAGACUAAGCAGUUUUCUGAUCAAGUUUUGUUUUAGCUCUGAAUUCUGUUUAAGGUUACUAAUAACUUACCAAUGCCUCUUUGUAAAUUCUAUAUAGGCAAAAUAAUUGUACAAUCUUUGUUUCAUUUUGAAUAUGUUAUGCAAUUAUUACUUAUUAGUAUCAACCAA